UUUUUUUUUGGUUUUUUUUGGUUUUUUUUUUUCUUUCCAGCUGUUCUUCCCUUUCUCAGACCGGCAGAGCGCUGCCGGAGCAGGCAGCGGGGUGGUGCCGGGACAAGCAGAGGAGCUCUGGGAGCUGCAGCUCGGUUUAACCCCUGGAAGGGCUCCCGACACGGGGGUUUGAGCCUGCGGUGCCGCUGGAGAUCGAGCCUGAGCCUUGGAAACCGGAGACGAGGAAGCAGAAGGGCUGGGAAACGAAGCGCUCCGGAGCUAGGCUCUUUCCAAACUCCCAGGGCGCAAAAUUACAAGCACUAAAGAAAUCGUCAUUAGCGAGGCGGCGUGCACGCAGCCAAGAAAGCCAAAUGAGACAGGUGGGCACAGCGAUGGCAGCGCCGCUUUAGGAUUGCCCCACAAUGCCUUUAAAUCCCCGUUUCCAAACUCCAGCAGAACUCUGGAUUUUGUUCUUGGAAUUGCCUGCGCUGUUACUUUUUGUGGUGGGUGAUCCCCAUCUCUGGGCCACUCCAGGGAAGGGGAGAUCCUCCAGGCAUCAGGCUGCUUGUACUCAACAGCCCGUUUUUCCCACCACUCUCCAAACAAUACAAAGUUUUUCUUUCCAGUAACUUUUGGCUGUCUGCGUGAGGUGACCAUUUCCAGAGAAAUCCUUGUUUCUGCUGCUGAGCAUGACCUGCUGGCACAGAAGGAAUGGAUGGAACAAAACAUCAUGUUGUGCAAGAGGACUGAAAAUGCUGGCUUUGAGAAGAAACGCAGCCCUGGAAAUAGUAAGGGAGGAUACCCAGCACACGAGUCUUGGAAACGUUUUGGUUCUGUGUGCCCACAUCCCGUGGGAUUGAGCUAGAAGGCACAACCACCUUUUCCGUGUGCACGGAGCGGGCUUGGUUGGGAUUUCACAGCCAGGGGAAGAGACACGGGCUGGGCACAUUUGUGGGGCCACGUGGGACAUUUGGCAUCACCUGCAGCUUUGGGAUCUGGACCCAACGCUUUGCCAAAAGCCCCGCUGAGCCACGGAGAGCUGCUGCUGACAGCACAGGAUUAACAACAAACUGCAAACGCUCCCCUCCUGCACGUGUGCCGAGAAGAAAGCCCAGCUGGGUAAAAAAGUUUGGCAGUGAGGAGGCAGGGCCCCGGGAGCCUUCCUUCAGAGGAUGAGAGCUCUAGGAGGAUCCACCCUGCAGUGGGUGCCUGGAGGGAAACUCUGGGGCAGCCUGAGCCAGAGGAGCAGAUCACACUGCCUGGGCUGAUGCUGCUCCAGGAGACAGCUGGGUGGAAAACGGGAAGGAUGGGACACUGCCCUGAACCAGAAGCACUCAGAGGCAGGAUGUGCACAGCUCCAGGGGUGCUCCCAACACCGACCUCUCACACACUGGGACGUGCAGCCCUUCCAGACAGAUUCCCUGCUGCCUCUGGUUCUUUUCCAGCCUUCCAGUGCUUGUGUCUGACCUCGGUUUGGCACAGCCACCCAGUCCACCCCCAGAGCACAGGGGAAAGCUUCUCCCAGUGCUAGUCCUAGAAAGACACUGGCAUUCCUCACUUUUUUAGGCUCCAGCUGAACAAACACAGGUGCUGCUCUUCACACCCACCAGCUGCCCUGCUCUGGGGCACGAGCUCUCUCACUGGCUCCAGGGCUUCAUUUGCACAAGCUGCCUUUUUUAUUCCCUUGUCCCUGAGCCUCAGGCUGCAGCUGCUGCUCUGGGACUGGCAUCACUUGCACCUGAAGGCACUGGGGCUGCCUGACAGCCCAGGAGUUCCCCCUAAUUUUUGUGCCCUACUUGCCUGCCCAGAGGGGAUCCAGAAGCACAGAGGCGAUGCCUGCACCCCCAAAUCCUGCAGCAAAAGGCAGCAGCAGGCAGAUACCAUGGCCAGACAGGAGACUGAUGUCCUGAGGAUGUCAAGGCCCUGGGAAAAGAGGCAGCAGCUUGGAGCAGGGUGGGUCAUGUCCCCCCUGGCUACACCAGCUCACUGUGCUGUCUUCCCUCCUGACGCUAUCCUGCCUGCCCAGGAAAGCUUCCUGCAGCCUGGUUAUCUCUGUCUCAGCCUCACCCAGGCCAGAAGAAGCCCUAAACACAGCCCUGUGCUCCUCAAAGUCCACGUGCAGCCAGGGAUGGGGCCAGCUGGUUUUAAACACAGCCCUGUGCUCCUCAAUGGGGCCAGCUGGUUUUUCGAGGUCACAGCCCGUGCAAAGCCCUGAAUUCCCUCCUGUCCUGCCCAAUGCCCCCACGACAGCAAAGAGGACUGGUCACUGGUGGUAUAUUUAUAUAUCAAUACAAAUAAAAACAAAACAACUCCCAAAAAAGUAACAACAAAAAGGUUUCUCUGAGAGCAAAAUAGGAACAUUUACAAAUACUUCUGGCUCUGGCUUGGAUCAAGUUAAUGUUAAAUACAAAAAAAA